CUUGGCAAGUUUUGAAACACUGGCAAAUUAUUGCCAGAAACAUUCCAAAGCAUCACAGAAAUUUUGCUGCUUUGUUUCAAAAAAGGCAAAUGUAUGCUAAAUACUACUCUUGAGAAUUUGUACUACGUUUUCUUUUUCACUUCUUCUGAGAAGUUCUAUAGUAUGGUAGUACCUUGUUAGGACCAGCCUUCAGUUUAAUAGAUCCCCCAUGUUCGUUCUUGUAAUAGAUACAAAUGGUUAACAAGUAUUUUGGUUGGAUGCUUAAUUUACAAAACUGAAUAUGCCCCUUCUCAUGUUUGAGUUCAGGAAGAGAGCCAGCGCGGCGCAAUCAACAAAAAGCAGACUGGAUGGUAAAAUUAUUAUAUCACCAUACCUUGUGACUAGCUCUAGAUGGACAUGCUUGAAACUAGUUUAGCAGUUUGGGAUCUUGCCAACCUGAUAAAGCCAAUCGACAUUGUCACUUUCGAACUUGUAGUGAUACUCCUCUCUAUUGUUCCUAAUUUUUUGUGGAGAGUCUCUCAACUGAUUGGCCCUCCGACCAGCUAUGCAGUGCUGAUGCUCUUGGGCUAACCGAGGCCUCCCAGGCCCUGCUUCGACUAUCUUCUCGGCGUGGCG